GUGGGGAAUAUUGGGCAAUGGGCGAAAGCCUGACCCAGCAACGCCGCGUGAGGGAAGAAGGCCUUCGGGUUGUAAACCUCUGUCCUUGGUGACGAAAAAAAUGACGGUAGCCAAGGAGGAAGCCCCGGCUAACUACGUGCCAGCAGCCGCGGUAAUACGUAGGGGGCGAGCGUUGUCCGGAAUUACUGGGCGUAAAGGGUGCGUAGGCGGCCGAUUAAGUUGGAUGUGAAAUACCCGGGCUUAACCUGGGGGGUGCAUCCAAUACUGGUUGGCUAGAGUGCAGGAGAGGGAAGCGGAAUUCCUAGUGUAGCGGUGAAAUGCGUAGAUAUUAGGAGGAACACCAGUGGCGAAGGCGGCUUUCUGGACUGUAACUGACGCUGAUGCACGAAAGCGUGGGGAGCAAACAGGAUUAGAAACCCGUGUAGUCC
rnacentral:rRNA from 1 species